rnacentral:rRNA from 1 species
AUUGAACGCUGGCGGCAGGCCUAACACAUGCAAGUCGAGCGAGCGGCGGACGGGUGAGUAAUGUCUGGGAAACUGCCUGAUGGCGGGGGAUAACUACUGGAAACGGUAGCUAAUACCGCAUACCAUCAGAUGUGCCCAGAUGGGAUUAGCUAGUAGGUGGGGUAACGGCUCACCUAGGCGACGAUCCCUAGCUGGUCUGCGGGGAUGACCAGACACACGGGAACUGAGACACGGUCCAGACUCCUACGGGCGGCAGCAGUGGGGAAUAUUGCACAAUGGGCGAAAGCCUGAUGGAGCCAUGCCGCGUGUGUGAAGAAGGCAUUCGGGUUGUAGAGCACUAUCAGCGGGGAGGCGUUACCCGCAGAAGAAGCACCGGCUAACUCCGUGCCAGCCGCCGCGGUAAUUC